AUUGACCUAUUUAAGAAUACGUUCGUCUAAUCGACCCAAACGGACGAAAAUCACACGCGCGUGUCCGUUUGGGUGGCCAGUUGGAGUUCUUAGAGCCUGUAUCACGGCAGCCCAUGCUUGCAAGCUUUUUUUCAAAUAUUGCAGGGUUAUCGAGAGCCUGUAUCCAUGCGGUGCCGCUCCCAGUCCCGCCUCUUCCCAGAAAAUCCCACGGAAAAGUUUCCCCUCUUCUAUGCAAUCCAAGCUUCCGAAGGUUCCUCUCCUCUCCACCGAGUUCGAGCAGCCGCGGCAGCAGCAGCCAUGUGCCGGCGCGCGGCGGCGGCAACCAGGACAUCAGCGCUAGGUCAUACACGAAGCGGAGGGCAUGCCGUUGCUGGCUUACAACGGGGGCUUCGUCGUGGUCUUAGUUCCUGCUGAACGUCUAUGUCGGCAUGGUCGCCUACAUCAUCGAUCUUCCACCACUCUAGUAGCAGUAGCAGUAUCAAGUGUACUGUCGAUGCGUUUGAUCCUUCUAGGGCCUCUGGGCCAAGUGGGACAUGGAGUUGUCGGUGAGUCUGGUGUGCCCCAAGUUAACUGUCUGAUUUAAGUAUGCUGAAUGUUCUUGUUCUUGUUACAUACACAAAUCCCCUAAAAACAAUCCUGUCAUUAGAUCGCUGAGUUCCAUCCAAACUGGGCAAUGGUGGAAGCCAAAUAUCACAAUUCGUUAAGCAUUUGAUAUGCUGCAUUACCAUUGCCAUUUGCAUUGCAAGAUGAUAUGCCUGCCACUCAGAAUAAACCUUUUGAUACGCUUUUACACAUUCUACUCACAUGUACAUUUUGCAAUUUGAUCUGUUCAUCAACAUGGCUAUAACAACAAUCCUGUAAGGCUGCACUAGUAGUACAUAUACAAAUUCUCACACAAAUCAUGUGGUUAUUUACACACUUCAUCUUGCAGCAGCAAAGUCCUUGUGGUCUUGUGCUUAUUUAUGAUUGGGUGUUUCUCUUCUCUUACCUUUAUACAAUUAUAAGUGAUGUACCAAUUAGUGUAUUUGCAGUUCGUAGUUCAGUCUGUCCAUGCUACCUCCGCUGGAACUUUAGGUGCUUGAUGAAGAUGAAGAAGAGGAAGGCGAACAGGGCGAUGAUGGCCAGGUGCAGGCAUGUGACAAGGUUGAAGUAGCGGUUCUCGAGGCCAAGGUAGCCCUCGAGGAACUCACGCACUGUCUGGUCCGGUUGCCCCGGCACACGGAUCAGCUCUGUCCGGUCGCCCAGCUGUGAGAACAUGAGCCCGUACACUGUCCAUGCCGCUGGGUUAGCCCAGUACACCCACCUCCACCAUAUCGGGAUCAGCUGCAUCCACAUUGCCACAUUGUUGUUGUCCAUUAGGCAAGCCAUGCACUGCGCCCUAAAGUUCUGCCAAUAUCCUGGGGGAAAAUGUAGAUCCACGGUGUUUGGCGCUGGUUGCCCCAGCUCUUCAAUUAGAAGCAUGUUCUCCCUGCAGAAACAAGGGAGGAGCUCCGGUAAAUUUCUGCAUAGUCCACUCCAAUCACAUAUUCUGUUAUGUGUGAAAUUAUAUCCAACACCCAUGCUGCUGGGUUUUGUCCCUCUUUUAUUCUAGGAACACCAGCACGGGCAUCCAAGCCAGUGGUUGGCUCGUCCAUGAAUAUAAUGGAAGGACUAGCUACCAGCUCCACUGCUAUUGUUAGCCUUUUUCGCUGCUCAGCUGACAGGCCAGUUGCUCCUGCUAUUCCCACCAUGGCAUUCUUCAGUCCAGUCAAUUCAACUAGGUCCAUUACUUCAUCUAUAAACAUCUGAAACAUGUUUGUAGGAAAAUCUUGUUAGAUCUAUUGUUAUAUAUUAGCUUCAAAGAUGAUAAAGAUUGCAAAAGGUCAAUGCUUAUACAUCUCUUUGGCGAGAGUUAACGUUCGAAGGAAGUCGAAGCCAUGCCGAGAACUGUAGUGACUCAUGCACAGUGAGGUUAGGGGAGUGAAUGUCACUCUGUUCACAGUAGCCCGAGAUCCUUGAGAAUGUGUCCUGCUUCUUUGGGUAUCCUGCUAUCCUAAUAGUACCUUCAAUAUAUCCUCCAGUUUUUCUUCCAGCCAAAACGUCGAGCAAUGUUGUCUUUCCAGCACCAGUGAUCCCCAUCAGAGCUGUUAACACCCCUGGCCUGAAAACACCACUGACAUCUUGCAGCAGUUGAAGCUUUUUCUCUGUUACUCCAUACUUCAUCAUUUCCUGGUGGAAGAUAUGCAUACGUUUGGUCAAACGUGACUGGAAAUGAAAUGGAUGCAAGUAUUCAGUAAGGCACUAUGUGCUCAAGAUGUUACCUUAGGCAUGUCAACAAAAUAGUUGAUAUGAUCAAAUACAAGGGAAAGAGGCUGAAACGGGAGGGCAACUUGACCGGUUGAUGCAUUGCGAGUUCCAACUUUCUGUUUCUUGCACUCCGUUUUUGUCUUCGUGGAAUCGAUAUUAACUUGAUGCUUGUGUGGAGCUACAAAUUAUGAACAAAUGUGAUGGAUUUUGUUUGCAUUUAUGUUUCAAUACUUAUGAGGAUUUUGAUAGCUUUGGUAUACAUACAGUUCAUGAACUCUAGUGCAAAUAUAGUGAGGAUGUUGAGGACCAGCGAGAAUCCAAAUAAAAUGCCGACACAAAUCCAGUACCAAUGCCACUCUGUGAGCAACCCCCUGAUCUUGAGGAUAGCUUCACCAACUGUUUUAGCAUUUGCAUAGUAAAAUUCCUGUCAGCAUGAAAAAUCAUCAUCAGGUCAUAACUAAUUGCACGGGUUAUGUACAUUGGAUCAAGAAUGUUAGUUGAAACAAUUGCUUACACUAGCCCAUCUUUCAUCAAGGAACUCAUUUAGGGCAACAGCAUUCUGUGCAUAGGUGAAUGGGGAUGUCCAGUAUCCCCACUGCAACCAUGGUUGGAGGUUAUCUGUUUCAAUGUACAAAACUGCCUCCAAAUAUGUAGAUUGCUAUGAGAGCUGCGGUGCCUAGCAUGUUGGCCAUUACUUGCGUCCUUCCUAUUGCCGCUAAGAAACGAUAGAGGCCCAUUGACAUUUGAUGCAUGGCAAAAAGUACCAAAAACUGCUGGAUGAAUCUGCAAGAAGCAAGAGAUCGUCUUUCGCAGGUCGUGGGAGAUAGGAUGAACGAAAAGAUUCUGCAAAUUUUUCGAUUGACCGGUAAUCGUGGAUUACUUUCGCUGUGUUAGGGGCGUUCUCAGGCUCUACUGUGUAGGAAAUGCUGGCGCGUGCUGUCCAUCUCAUGAGAAAUCAACUAGCAAGGUGAAAAUCUGCUUAGGUUAUCAGAUGCUGUCAAAACGAACCUUGGCUAAACUGCUCGAGGUAGUGACGGAACAUUGAGAGUUUCCACAAAAAUGUGUAGAUUACUCCCAGUGCAUAAUCAACAUUCGUGCCCCCAAGGGAUACAAUCCAUAUUUAUUUAUUUAUUAUUUGAAUUCGCCAACCACUAAAAAUAACCGCAACUCUAGUUGUGCUUAGUUGAUCGAUGCUGUUCUAUUUUUGUAUUGUUGUCCUUAAGAAAGUUGGUUAACUAGCGAAGGCAGUGGCGUUAACUCUUCAGUCAACUGCCUCACUUCGGAGUAAUCUUUUUUAGUAUAUUUAGCUGUACUGCUGUAGCAACACGGCAAUUAAUUUUGAU